AAAGAAAACACUUUGGAAAUGAAACUUCUGUAGGGUGACCCUACGAGAUUCGGCAGAGCCGACGGUGCCUAACACCUUAAGCCCGGCUCAGAACACCAGACGGAACACCGGAACCGCUUUUUAUUACCCUGAUGUUCCGCCUUUACAAUA
rnacentral:lncRNA from 1 species